AUCAUUAACAGUCCCACUGUCUGCUUCUUUCGGUUCCCAAAGCCAGGAGUGCAAUUCCUGAGUGUUCCAUGCUUUAAUUUCCCUGAUUUUCAUACCUCUUUGGGGGUUCAUUGUGGGAGGUGCCUGUUUGGGGAUUCAUUGUGGGAGGUGCCUGUUUGGGAGCUCAUUGUGGGAGGUGCCUGUUUGGGGAUUCAUUGUGGGAGGUGCCUGUUUGGGAGCUCAUUGUGGGAGGUGCCUGUUUGGGGAUUCAUUCUGGGAGGUGCCUGUUUGGGAGCUCAUUGUGGGAGGUGCCUGUUUGGGAACUCAUUCUGGGAG